rnacentral:tRNA from 4 species
GCGAGCGUGGCGGAAUUGGUAGACGCACUGGAUUUAGGUUCCAGCGCCGAGAGGUGUGAGAGUUCGAGUCUCUCCGCUCGCACCA